GACGAACGCUGGCGGCGCGCUUAACACAUGCAAGUCGAGCGAUGAAACGCCAACAGAACCCUUCGGGGCGAAGAAAAAGCGGAUUAGCGGCGGACGGGUGAGUAACAUGUGAGCAACCUGCCGUAAACAUCGGGAUAGUGUCGGGAAAACGGGAUAAAUAGCAACUAAAACCAGAAUGACACAUGUCAUAACGAGCAACACUCCGGUGAGCUAAGAUGGACUCGCGUCCCAUUCGCGAGUUGGUGGAGUAAAAGCCUGCCAAGGCGACGAUGGGUAGCCGGCCUGGGAGGGUGCACGGCCACGUUGGAACUGAGAAGCGGUCCAAACUCCUACGGGAGGCUGCAGUCGGGACUAUUGCACAAUGGCGGGGUCUCUGAUGGAGCGCCUCCGCGUGAACGACGCAUUCUUUAGAGUCGUAAAGUUCUUUUAUAUGGGAGUAUAAUGACGGUACCAUAAGAAAAAGCCCCGGCUAACUACGUG
rnacentral:rRNA from 1 species